CCUACGGGAGGCAGCAGUGGGGAAUAUUGCACAAUGGGGGAAACCCUGAUGCAGCAACGCCGCGUGGGUGAAGAAGGUCUUCGGAUCGUAAAACCCUGUUGUUAGAGAAGAAAGUGCGUGAGAGUAACUGUUCACGUUUCGACGGUAUCUAACCAGAAAGCCACGGCUAACUACGUGCCAGCAGCCGCGGUAAUACGUAGGUGGCAAGCGUUAUCCGGAUUUAUUGGGCGUAAAGGGAACGCAGGCGGUCUUUUAAGUCUGAUGUGAAAGCCUUCGGCUUAACCGGAGGAGUGCAUUGGAAACUGGGAGACUGGAGUGCAGAAGAGGAGAGUGGAACUCCAUGUGUAGCGGUGAAAUGCGUAGAUAUAUGGAAGAACACCAGUGGCGAAAGCGGCUCUCUGGGCUGUAACUGACGCUGAGGUUCGAAAGCGUGGGUAGCAAACAGGAUUAGAUACCCCUGUAGUC
rnacentral:rRNA from 1 species